rnacentral:rRNA from 1 species
GACGAACGCUGGCGGCAUGCCUUACACAUGCAAGUCGAACGGCAGCACGGGUGCUUGCACCUGGUGGCGAGUGGCGAACGGGUGAGUAAUACAUCGGAACGUACCUUAUCGUGGGGGAUAACGCAGCGAAAGCUGUGCUAAUACCGCAUACGCCCUGAGGGGGAAAGCGGGGGAACGCAAGACCUCGCGCGAUUAGAGCGGCCGAUGCCUGAUUAGCUUGUUGGUGGGGUAAAAGCCCACCAAGGCGACGAUCAGUAGCUGGUCUGAGAGGACGAUCAGCCACACUGGGACUGAGACACGGCCCAGACUCCUACGGGAGGCAGCAGUGGGGAAUUUUGGACAAUGGGGGCAACCCUGAUCCAGCAAUGCCGCGUGAGUGAAGAAGGCCUUCGGGUUGUAAAGCUCUUUUGUCAGGGAAGAAACACCGGCUCUAACACAGUCUGGGAAUGACGGUACCUGAAGAAUAAGCACCGGCUAACUACGUGCCAGCAGCCGCAGUAA